ACGGUUACCUUGUUACGACUUAGCCCCAGUCACCAGUUUUACCCUAGGGCGCUCCUUGCGGUUACGCACUUCAGGUACCCCCGGCUCCCAUGGCUUGACGGGCGGUGUGUACAAGGCCCGGGAACGUAUUCACCGCGCCGUGGCUGAUGCGCGAUUACUAGCGAAUCCAGCUUCAUGAAGUCGGGUUGCAGACUUCAAUCCGAACUGAGAGAGGUUUUUGGGAUUGGCAUCCACUUGCGUGGUAGCAGCCCUCUGUACCCCCCAUUGUAACACGUGUGUAGCCCCGGACGUAAGGGCCGUGCUGAUUUGACGUCAUCCCCACCUUCCUCACAUCUUACGAUGGCAGUCCCGACAGAGUCCUCAGCAUAACCUGUUAGUAACUAUCGGCAAGGGUUGCGCUCGUUAUGGCACUUAAGCCGACACCUCACGGCACGAGCUGACGACAACCAUGCAGCACCUUCACAACCGCUAUUGCUAGCUAUGGCGUUUCCGCCAUAUUCGGUUGCAAUUUAAGCCCGGGUAAGGUUCCUCGCGUAUCAUCGAAUUAAACCACAUGUUCCUCCGCUUGUGCGGGCCCCCGUCAAUUCCUUUGAGUUUCACCGUUGCCGGCGUACUCCCCA
rnacentral:rRNA from 1 species